GGCAGCAACACCGCAAAGUACACCGUCUCAAGCACCAACAUGCUCUCCAAGGUCAUAGUGGCACUUGCAAUCGUCAGUGUGGCUGUCUCACUGCCGUCCGGCAGUUAUGGCGAUAUACCAUACCAGUACUCGUACAACGUGAAGGAUGAGUACGCAGGCGCAGACUUUGGCCAUACCGAAGACUCCAACGGUAAAAGUGCCCAGGGCUCUUUCUACGUCCAGCUCCCCGACGGUCGCAGGCAAACGGUAAA
rnacentral:lncRNA from 1 species